rnacentral:lncRNA from 1 species
AAUGAGGGUCCUUAUGAAACAUAUAGUGGGAGUCCGAUGAGCAAGGUGCAUUGUUGUGAAAGUCUUUUCUACUCAUGCUUUUUUGUCUGCGUUAUAUUCAUAAUGCAGUGAAUGUAUAUUGAACUUAAAUAUUUANGCUGUUGAUAGAGGAUGUUACAUAGGUCAAAGCCUGAGCUUAAAUAUUCAUAAACAUCUAAUUGACUUAAUUCAGUCAAAGCAAAGCAUACAAUUAAUAUACAGUUGAUU